CGGGAAAAGGAUUGGCUCUAAGGGUUGAUUUGGAAAAAACUAUUAAUGCCGUUAAUUUUUUGUAUUUUUGGAUGUUCCAAUCAGUAUAAAAAAGUAACGAUAAAUUAAUGGGGAAUUUAAGUUAAAAGUAAUUUAUUAUUUUUAAUUUAAAUUCAUUUUUCAAAAAUGUAACAACCAACUUAGAACUGGUACGGACAAAGGGAAUCCGACUGUUUAAUUAAACAUAGCAUUGCGACGGCCG
rnacentral:rRNA from 11 species